rnacentral:rRNA from 1 species
UACGAAGGGGGCUAGCGUUGUUCGGAUUUACUGGGCGUAAAGCGCACGUAGGCGGAUUGGUCAGUUAGAGGUGAAAUCCCAGAGCUCAACUCUGGAACUGCCUUUAAUACUGCCAGUCUAGAGUCCGGAAGAGGUAAGUGGAACUCCUAGUGUAGAGGUGGAAUUCGUAGAUAUUAGGAAGAACACCAGUGGCGAAGGCGGCUUACUGGUCCGGUACUGACGCUGAGGUGCGAAAGCGUGGGGAGCAAACAGG